GUACUGUGCAAACGUUAUUCGGAAUCACUGGGCUUAAAGGGUGCGUAGGCGGCCGAUUAAGUAGGGGUGUGAAUGCUCCGGGCUCAACCGGAGCACUGCGCUCUAAACUGGUCGGCUUGAGUGAGAUAGGGGUGUGCGGAACUUCCAGUGGAGCGGUGAAAUGUGUUGAUAUUGGAAGGAACGCCGGUGGCGAAAGCGGCACACUGGGCCUCAACUGACGCUGAGGCACGAAAGCCAGGGUAGCGAACGGGAUUAGAUACCCCGGUAGUCCUGGCUGUAAACGAUGAGCACUAGACGGGAGGGGCUUUACGCCUUUCCGGUCGCAGCGAAAGCACUAAGUGCUCCGCCUGGGGAGUAUGGUCGCAAGGCUG
rnacentral:rRNA from 1 species